rnacentral:rRNA from 1 species
AUUGAACGCUGGCGGCAGGCCUAACACAUGCAAGUCGAGCGGGGGUAGCAAUACCCUAGCGGCGAACGGGUGAGGAAUGCUUGGGAAUCUGCCUCGUAGUGGGGGAUAACGUUCCGAAAGGAACGCUAAUACCGCAUACGUCCUACGGGAGAAAGGGGGGGAUCUUCGGACCUCUCGCUAUGAGAUGAGCCCAAGCGGGAUUAGCUAGUUGGUGAGGUAAAGGCUCACCAAGGCUACGAUCCCUAGCUGGUCUGAGAGGAUGAUCAGCCACACUGGAACUGAGACACGGUCCAGACUCCUACGGGAGGCAGCAGUGGGGAAUAUUGGACAAUGGGCGAAAGCCUGAUCCAGCCAUGCCGCGUGUGUGAAGAAGGCCUUCGGGUU